UACAGAGGGGGCAAGCGUUGUUCGGAAUUACUGGGCGUAAAGGGCGCGUAGGCGGCCUGCUAAGUCGAACGUGAAAUCCCUGGGCUCAACCCAGGAACUGCGUCCGAUACUGGUUGGCUUGAAUCCGGGAGAGGGAUGCGGAAUUCCAGGUGUAGCGGUGAAAUGCGUAGAUAUCUGGAGGAACACCGGUGGCGAAGGCGGCAUCCUGGACCGGCAUUGACGCUGAGGCGCGAAAAGCCAGGGGGAGCGGAACGGG
rnacentral:rRNA from 1 species